UACAGAGGGUGCGAGCGUUAAUCGGAAUUACUGGGCGUAAAGCGCACGUAGUCGGCUUGUCAAGUCGGGUGUGAAAUCCCCGGGCUCAACCUGGGAACUGCAUCCGAAACUGACUUGCUAGAGUAUGGGAGAGGGAGGCGGAAUUUCUGGUGUAGCAGUGAAAUGCGUAGAUAUCAGAAGGAACAUCAGUGGCGAAGGCGGCCUCCUGGACCAACGCUGACGAUCAGGUGCGAAAGCGUGGGGAGCAAACAGG
rnacentral:rRNA from 1 species